GACCACCGUGGCCGAGUGGUAACACUGACGACUUUGAUUCGUCAGGUCGUGGGUUCGCGGCCCGCCACGGUCA